CCAAAACCGGACCUGACCUUUCUCCAAAAUUUCCACUGCCAACUCUGACUUAGCUGGGACAGCUAUGAAAGAAUGAAAGUAAACACAUUUCUUCAACAACACCCUACAGCUCUCAGCUGUAAAAUAUAACUUAUUGAGAACUAAGAGCACACCUGGACCGUCUACCCUGAGGAGUGAGUGCCCGUGUUUAUCUGCAUGCAGGUAUCAUCUGUCUACAGUUUCCGGUAACCUGAUUCCUUCUUGGGACGCUGCCCAGUGCCCAGGUUCUCUGGCCCAUCACCCGAUGCUCCUGCUCACUGGCCUGUUCUCUGGUAUGAGCAAGAAUAGCCCUGGACCAUCUCCCACCUGGCGUAUCUGUGUCCCGAGGCGUCUGUGAAGAAGGGGGGAGCACUUGUCACAUGCCACAGUCACCCUCGUCAGUAUCUCAGACAGCACACAAUGAUGAUUUCGACAAUCAGGAAAAGCACAGGAAGUUAGGGGAACAGUGCUUUCAGCAUCUUACACAAUGGGAUGCAUCGUGUGUGUGUGCGUGUGUGUGUGUGUGUGUGUGUGUGUGUGUGUGACUGAGGACUGAACCUAGGGCCUCAUGCAUACCAGGCAAUUGCUGUACCAGGAGCUACAUCCCCAACCUGAGAUGAAUCUCAAGGAAGAAGU